CCCUAGAAUCCGACACUGGUUAGAUUUUCGUUUAAUUUCUAAAUACCCACCAGUAUACAUUAUAUUUCCAACAGAAUUUUAUGAACAAUACUACCGUCAUUAAAUUCAGAAAUAUUUAAUGUAAAAGUUUCACACCAAAUCUUAUAUGUGACAUCUCAAAAACAAACCCAUUACAGCGGCACUUCUGUAUAUGGAACUUCGGAAUAUAGGAAC
rnacentral:lncRNA from 1 species